rnacentral:rRNA from 1 species
UACGGGGGGGCAAGCGUUGUUCGGAAUUACUGGGCGUAAAGGGCUCGUAGGUGGCCAACUAAGUCAUACGUGAAAUCCCUCGGCUUAACCGGGGAACUGCGUCUGAUACUGGAUGGCUUGAGGUUGGGAGAGGGAUGCGGAAUUCCAGGUGUAGCGGUGAAAUGCGUAGAUAUCUGGAGGAACACCGGUGGCGAAGGCGGCAUCCUGGACCAAUUCCGACACUGAGGAGCGAAAGCCAGGGGAGCAAACGGG